rfam:Rhodospirillum photometricum DSM 122 draft genome sequence
GAGCCCGUAGCUCAGCCGGUAGAGCAGCUGACUUUUAAUCAGCGGGUCGCGCGUUCGAGUCGCGCCGGGCUCA